GAUCCUGGCUCAGAUUGAACGCUGGCGGAAUGCUUUACACAUGCAAGUCGAACGGUAGAGGGGGGCAACCCCUCGAGAGUGGCGAACGGGUGAGUAAUAUAUCGGAACGUGCCCAGUCGUGGGGGAUAACGUAGCGAAAGUUACGCUAAUACCGCAUACGAUCUAAGGAUGAAANCGGGGGAUCGCAAGACCUCGCGCGAUUGGAGCGGCCGAUAUCAGAUUAGGUAGUUGGUGGGGUAAAGGCUCACCAAGCCAACGAUCUGUAGCUGGUCUGAGAGGACGACCAGCCACACUGGAACUGAGACACGGUCCAGACUCCUACGGGAGGCAGCAGUGGGGAAUUUUGGACAAUGGACGCAAGUCUGAUCCAGCCAUUCCGCGUGCAGGAUGAAGGCCCUCGGGUUGUAAACUGCUUUUGUACGGAACGAAAAGGUCUCUCCUAAUACGAGGGGCUCAUGACGGUACCGUAAGAAUAAGCACCGGCUAACUACGUG
rnacentral:rRNA from 1 species